rnacentral:rRNA from 1 species
GAGUUUGAUCCUGGCUCAGGAUGAACGCUAGCUACAGGCUUAACACAUGCAAGUCGAGGGGCAUCGGGAAGAAAGCUUGCUUUCUUUGCCGGCGACCGGCGCACGGGUGAGUAACACGUAUCCAACCUGCCCUUUACUCGGGGAUAGCCUUUCGAAAGAAAGAUUAAUACCCGAUGGCAUAAUGAUUCCGCAUGGUUUCAUUAUUAAAGGAUUCCGGUAAAGGAUGGGGAUGCGUUCCAUUAGUUUGUUGGCGGGUAACGGCCCACCAAGACUACGAUGGAUAGGGGUUCUGGAGAGGAAGGUCCCCCAAUUGGAACUGAGACACGGU